AGCUCCAAUAGCGUAUAUUAAAGUUGUUGCAGUUAAAAAGCUCGUAGUUGAAACUCAGGUUGAGCCAACUUAUCAAAGUUAGCAAAACCAACAUUAUGAGAAAGAAUCAGCUUAUUGAAUUAAACUGUUUCAGAAUCAUAUCAUUUACUGUGAACAAAUUAGGGUGUUUAAAGCAGACCAAAGUUUGAAUACAUUAGCAUGGAAUAAUGAGAUAUGACUUUAGUUGUAUAUCGUUGGUGACAGUUAAAGUAAUGAUUGACAGGAACUGUUGUGGGUAUUCGUAUGAUCAUGUCAGAGGUGAAAUUCUUGGAUUCUGAUCAGACGAACUACUGCGAAAGCAUUUACCAAGGAUGUUUUCA
rnacentral:rRNA from 1 species